GACGAACGCUGGCGGCGUGCCUAAUACAUGCAGGUAGAACGCUGAAGGAGGAGCUUGCUUCUCUGGAUGAGUUGCGAACGGGUGAGUAACGCGUAGGUGACCUGCCUGGUAGCGGGGGAUAACUAUUGGAAACGAUAGCUAAUACCGCAUAAUAGUAGAUGUUGCAUGACAUUUGCUUAAUAGGUGCAAUUGCAUCACUACCAGAUGGACCUGCGUUGUAUUAGCUAGUUGGUGGGGUAACGGCUCACCAAGGCGACGAUACAUAGCCGACCUGAGAGGGUGAUCGGCCACACUGGGACUGAGACACGGCCCAGACUCCUACGGGAGGCAGCAGUAGGGAAUCUUCGGCAAUGGACGGAAGUCUGACCGAGCAACGCCGCGUGAGUGAAGAAGGUUUUCGGAUCGUAAAGCUCUGUUGUAAGAGAAGAACGAGUGUGAGAGUGGAAAGUUCACACUGUGACGGUAUCUUACCGGAAAGGGACGGCUAACUACGUGC
rnacentral:rRNA from 1 species